rnacentral:rRNA from 1 species
UGAUUGUAAAUAAAGGAAUUUUAAUUAGUAUUUGUUAUGUUCAUGAAAAUUAAAUAAAAUGGCGGUAUCUUAUUCUUUUCAGAGGAACCUGUUUUAUAAAUGAUAAUCCACGAUUAAUUCAACUUUUAUUUUUAGUUUGUAUAUCGUCGUUAUAAGAAAAUUUUUGAAAGAUGAAAUUUUCUUAAUUUGGAAUUUUAAAUUAUUUCAGAUCAUGGUACAGUUUAUAUAAAAGUAAAAAUGGGUUACAUUAAAUUAAUUUGAGGAUUAAAAAUUGAAAAUUUUUAUAAAUUUGGAUUUGAAAGUAAUUUUAAUAAUAAAAUUUUAAUGAUUUAGCUCUAAGAUGUGU